AACAGUAAGGUAUCUUUAAUUAAGAUUCAUAUCGUGCUGGCUCCUAGAGUUUUUCCACGAUUCCUCUCGCAUGAGCGCACGCGACGCGUUCGAGAAUGAAUACAUGGCAGGAACUCACGAGUUUGCGUGAUUGGCAUAUAAAAUACGCACAGAGAAGACAGUUGUACUUUACGUAUGUUGUCUUAGACACAAUGGGGAACACACCGUGAUGUGAACAAUUGCAACGAUAUAGACUUGAGAACAUUGAGAAAAAUCAUGGAAAGUAUAGUUAAUUCUAUAAUAUGUUCGAACGUUACUAUAUUAUAGGAAUAUUCCCAAUUUCUUAUAUAUCUUAGUUGUAAUUGGCGAUUAUCGUUAGAGAUAGAGAUAAUUAGCAAUUAUACUAAUCGGUACUUUUGUCCGAUAAAAAUGAAUUCGAUAAAAGUUGCCUACGACUAUAGCAUUAGAAAUGCUACUUUACUCAAUUUCUAAAAAAAAAAAAAAAAAGAAAAAAGAAAAGAAAAGGAAGAAAAAGUUGCAAAACGAGAUCUAAUUACUUGAUAUCUUGAAGUGGAUGUUACUCCGAUUAUACCGUAUAAGUAGAAACGGUUUAUGGAAACUACUGAUCGUGAGACAACGCAGAAAACAACCGGAAGUCUCAGCUCAACGAUGAAUCGAUAGAAAGACGUUCUGUUUCGUGACUAUGCAGGCGUUGAAGUCUCUUCUCCGCGCAGAUCAACGGAGGAAGAUUUCUCAGAAAUUCGUCGGGUAUUUGUCACACUUCUGAAGUUGAAUGAUUCAGAAUAGAAUAUCGCUAGAGAGUAGCGAUUGAAAUAAAAAGAAAGAACUAUAAUAUAAGCAAAAAUGUAACCAAGACGUUUAUCAAGAUUAUUAUUAUCGAACCUUUUCCCAUAAUUUCAAAAUAUCGGGUCGAUUAAUUUUUGAUACAAAUAGAAUUAGAAAUUAAAUGUAUCCAGCUAUUCGAACGCUAUACAUAAAAGUGACGCGCUAUCGUUAAUUUUACGUUAUAAAUCCGAUAGCUUUUUUAUUACUUCGAUUGAAUAAUAUUUGGAUCAACCGUAAUCGACUAACUAUAUCUACCGUUUCAAAAUACCUAUUAGUUGUUCAAGCAACAACAAAUCAUUAAGAUUAAGAAGAAAAUGAUUUAUCUACUUUAUAUAUUAGAAAGGAGUUUACUGUUAGAAAGCAUAACGGAUCGGACAGGCUACGUAAAAUUUCACGAUUCGUUUGGCAUCUCGAUGAUUGGAAGAAUUCCUUCUUAUUAACAGCAAGCAUGUUUUGUUACAACGAGUUGCAACAAUUUGUGAAAUACAUUCUAUGCGUCAUAAAA